rnacentral:rRNA from 1 species
UACUACCGAAGCUACGGCAUCAGUAAUGAUGGGUAGGGGAGCUUCCCAUACGGGUUGAAGCAUGACCGUAAGGACAUGUGGACAGUAUGGGAGUGAGAAUGUUGGCAUGAGUAGCGAGAUGUGGGUGGGAAUCCCACAGGCCGUAAACCCAAGGUUUCCAGGGGAAGGUUCGUCCACCCUGGGUUAGUCGGGACCUAAGCUGAGGCCGAAAGGCGUAGGUGAUGGACAACAGGUUGAGAUUCCUGUACUACCGAUAACCGUUUGAGAGAAGGGAUGACACAGUAGGAUAAGCUAAGCACACUGUUGGUUAUGUGUGCCCAAGCAUUGAGGCAGUCAAAGUAGG